rnacentral:rRNA from 1 species
UACGAACUGUGCAAACGUUAUUCGGAAUCACUGGGCUUAAAGGGUGCGUAGGCGGCUGUCUAAGCAGGGUGUGAAAGCCCCCGGCUCAACCGGGGAAUUGCGUUCUGAACUGGACGGCUGGAGUGGGAUAGAGGUGUGUGGAACUUCCGGUGGAGCGGUGAAAUGUGUUGAUAUCGGAAGGAACGCCGGUGGCGAAAGCGGCUCACUGGACCACAACUGACGCUGAUGCGCGAAAGCUAGGGGAGCAAACAGGG